CCAGUUCGGAUUGUAGUCUGCAACCCGACUACAUGAAGCUGGAAUCGCUAGUAAUCGCGGAUCAGAAUGCCGCGGUGAAUACGUUCCCGGGUCUUGUACACACCGCCCGUCACACCAUGGGAGUCGGAAAUGCCCGAAGUCUGUGACCCAACCUACGGGAGGGAGCAGCCGAAGGCAGGUCGGAUGACUGGGGUGAAGUCGUAACAAGGUAUC
rnacentral:rRNA from 1 species